rnacentral:rRNA from 1 species
GACGAACGCUGGCGGCGUGCUUAACACAUGCAAGUUGAACGAAGUGGCGAACGGGUGAGUAACGCGUAAUCAACCUGCCCUUCAGAGGGGGACAACAGUUGGAAACGACUGCUACUACCGCAUACUGAAGGAGGGGAUUGCGUCUGAUUAGCUAGUUGGAGGGGUAACGGCCCAACAAGGCGAUGAUCAGUAGCCGGUCGUAGAGGAGGAACGGCCACAUUGGGACUGAGAAACGGCCCAGACUCGUACGGGAGGCAGCAGUGGGGAAGCUUCCGCAAUGGACGAAAGUCUGACGGAGCAACGCCGCGGGAGGGAUGACGGCCUUCGGGGUGUAAAGCUCUGUUAAUCGGGACGCGGUACCGGAAUAGAAAGCCACGGCUAACUACGUGCCAGCCGCCGCGGUAAUUC